CUUUACCACAGCAUUGUGUCAGCUCACAUUCAAAAUGAGGAAAUGUCUGUACAUCACCUCAUUCAACAAUCUGAAACCAAACAGAGUCUUUGAUAUCAGACAGGAAGCUCGUCUCUCUUCAGGUUUAUCAUCCAGAUGUGAGUGUGUGCAGCUCAAAGAGACGAAGGCGAGAGCGAUGAAAGACAACAAGAGAGAGAGGAACAGAGAAAACAUCCCCCUGUGCACAGAUGUCCUGAUGCCGCGAGUCAAGCCCCCGGCAGUCACCCGCCUGCCGACUCGUGCUCGAACCUCACAACAACUCUCGCAAGACAACGGACAUCUCUGUACAACUCUGACUUCCACCUCCCCCACCACCACCACCACCAUCACUUCCCGCCUGUGCGUCUGCCAGCGACUGUCCGUGUGUUGUGUUCAAACUGCAGAGCCCCAUUUAGCCCAGUGGAAUAUAUGUGUUGUGUUUUCCUUUCAUUUUCUCUCCCCGCUUCUCUUAGACCCCUUUCUUUGCUGCCUCAUAACAAGCCAUGUUCUUGUUUUCCAGCCGUUUUCAGGGCGUAGUGGAUGUUGCAGAGCGAGGAAUGAGGAAAACAGAUCAGUAGUAUUAGUGGCACUCGCUGAAACUCUCCUCUGAGCCCUGAUGGGUUUUUUUUUUUUUUUAACAACCCACCAGGGCCUUGUAGUGAACAUGCGGGGAGUCAUAUUAUAAUUCACGCUUUGGCCAGCGUGAGUAAUUUCACGCCAUCUGGGACAGUCAUAACAAAGUCAGCCUUUGAUAGUUUUGAAGAAGAAAGUUUACUAUUAACGUUGUGGCCGCUGGCGUGAAGCAUGAGCCCAUGACUGUAAACUAGAUAAAUCCAACUGGGUCAGUGGCCGUGAUCUUCAAGCAUUAUAUAGUGAAACUACACAAUGGCACAAAGAGCAGCCGCCGAGUGAAAUGAUGUGACAAUUGUGAAAAUGUGCUUAUUUCCUAUAAAACAGAGAGUUACCUGUGAGCAUCAAUACGCCAGCAUAUCUUAGCUUAGCUAGAAUAAACGCUUGAAACAAUUUAACGCCCAUAAAGAAAACUUGAUGUUUUUAAACUUAAGGAUUUGUACAGAUGAAAUAAAGAUAAUAUGUAAAUGUUUAUA